AUUGAACGCUGGCGGCAUGCCUUACACAUGCAAGUCGAACGGUAACAGGUCUUCGGAUGCUGACGAGUGGCGAACGGGUGAGUAAUACAUCGGAACGUGCCUAGUAGUGGGGGAUAACUACUCGAAAGAGUGGCUAAUACCGCAUGAGAUCUACGGAUGAAAGCAGGGGAUCGCAAGACCUUGUGCUACUAGAGCGGCCGAUGGCAGAUUAGGUAGUUGGUGGGAUAAAAGCUUACCAAGCCGCCGAUCUGUAGCUGGUCUGAGAGGACGAUCAGCCACACUGGGACGGAGAGACGGCCCAGACUCCUACGGGAGGCAGCAGUGGGGAAUUUUGGACAAUGGGCGAAAGCCUGAUCCAGCAAUGCCGCGUGCAGGAUGAAGGCCUUCGGGUUGUAAACUGCUUUUGUACGGAACGAAAAGCCCCGGGUUAAUACCCUGGGGUCAUGACGGUACCGUAAGAAUAAGCACCGGCUAACUACGUGCCAGCAGCCGCCGUAA
rnacentral:rRNA from 1 species